AAGGCAGCAGGCACGCAAAUUACCCACUCCCGGCACGGGGAGGUAGUGACGAAAAAUAACGAUGCGAGACUCAUCCGAGGCCUCGCAAUCGGAAUGAGUACACUUUAAAUCCUUUAACGAGGACCUAUUGGAGGGCAAGUCUGGUGCCAGCAGCCGCGGUAAUUCCAGCUCCAAUAGCGUAUAUUAAAAUUGUUGCGGUUAAAAAGCUCGUAGUUGGAUUUCAGUUCUGGACUGACGGUUCACCGCCCGGUGCACACUGUCACGCUCCGAACAGCCACAACAGCCCGCUGGCUCGCACGGGGUGCUCUUCAUCGAGUGUCCCGCGUGGCCGGCAGAGUUUACUUUGAAAAAAUUAGAGUGCUCAAAGCAGGCUACACUGACGGCCUGAAUGCCUAUGCAUGGAAUAAUGGAAUAGGACCUCGGUUCUAUUUUGUCGGUUUUCUGAACCCGAGGUAAUGACUAAUAGGAACAGGCGGGGGCAUUCGUAUUGCGACGCUAGAGGUGAAAUUCUUGGACCGUCGCAAGACGAACUACUGCGAAAGCAUUUGCCAAGGAUGUUUUCAUUAAUCAAGGACGAAAGUUAGAGGUUCGAAGGCGAUCAGAUACCGCCCUAGUUCUAACCAUAAACGAUGCUGACCAGCGAUCCGCCGGUGUUAUUCCCAUGACCCGGCGGGCAGCUUCCGGGAAACCAAAGUCUUUGGGUUCCGGGGGAAGUAUGGUUGCAAAGCUGAAACUUAAAGGAAUUGACGGAAGGGCACCACCAGGAGUGGAGCCUGCGGCUUAAUUUGACUCAACACGGGGAACCUCACCAGGCCCAGACACCGGAAGGAUUGACAGAUUGAGAGCUCUUUCUCGAUUCGGUGGGUGGUGGUGCAUGGCCGUUCUUAGUUGGUGGAGCGAUUUGUCUGGUUAAUUCCGAUAACGAACGAGACUCUGGCCUACUAACUAGUCGACGGAUCUCCAGCAAUUGGUGUCCAGUUCGCAGCUUCUUCUUAGAGGGAUAAGCGGCAAUUCUAGCCGCACGAGAUUGAGCAAUAACAGGUCUGUGAUGCCCUUAGAUGUUCUGGGCCGCACGCGCGCUACACUGAAGGGAUCAACGUGUCCUCCCCCUCCGAGAGGAGCGGGUAACCCGUUGAAAUCCUUUCAUGAUAGGGAUUGGGGUUUGCAAUUGUCUCCCAUGAACGAGGAAUUCCCAGUAAGCGCAAGUCAUGAGCUUGCGUUGA
rnacentral:rRNA from 1 species